GCCCACUAAGCGGGAAGCUUUGCGCGAGUAGACCUUGAUUCCCGCGACAGUAGCUUGCUUUCCAUUUCUACCGCAGCGAUUCAAUGUUCUGCAGAAAUGGGACCGAGGCAACUUGCUGCCUGUCCGAAAAGGAGCCCUGCAUGGUAGCGCAGAACUGACGAGUCUAGUGCCUCUUCCAGAGACUCGCAGAAUCCGCCUAUAGAACUGUGGAUUAUUGCAGUUUGAACUGACCCCCUAGGACAACUAGAAGCGCUAGCCAGAAGCGUUUGUCAUGGGAUGCUUUAAUGCUUUGAAAAUUGUUCUCAACUGUGUCCUUCAGCGAACUAGAUAAAGAGACAGUAAGGUUGUUUAUUGAUUAUUUCCAUCAACAUUGCUUGGCAUAGUUGGCAGGAUAUCAGAAAAACUCAUCUGAGGUUACCUGGAGUCUAUACUGGACCAGCGCCUUUGUACCAAGCACAGCCCCUUGAGCCCUCCUGGCUUCACAGACCCUUCAGGUGCGUUGGCUCUGGACGUGCAGGCUCAACGGCCAUGGCUCACGGGCCCAGCCACU